UCGAGAAUCUUCGGCAAUGGGCGCAAGCCUGACCGAGCGACGCCGCGUGUGGGAUGAAGGCCCUUGGGUUGUAAACCACUGUCAGAGGGGAUGAAGUGCGGGAGAGUUAUCUCUUCCGUUUGACAUAGCCUCAGAGGAAGCACGGGCUAAGUUCGUGCCAGCAGCCGCGGUAAUACGAACUGUGCAAACGUUAUUCGGAAUCACUGGGCUUACAGGGUGCGUAGGCGGCCAGACAAGUAGGGUGUGAAAUCCCCCGGCUUAACCGGGGAAUGGCGCCCUAAACUGUAUGGCUGGAGUGAGAUAGGGGUGUGCGGAACUUCCGGUGGAGCGGUGAAAUGUGUUGAUAUCGGAAGGAACGCCGGUGGCGAAAGCGGCACACUGGAUCUCAACUGACGCUGAGGCACGAAAGCCAGGGGAGCGAACGG
rnacentral:rRNA from 1 species